rnacentral:misc_RNA from 1 species
UCCGGUUUGACACCGGCAGUCCCCUUAGAGUGCCCGGCAUUACCCGAUGGCAACUAAGGGCAAAGGUUUCGCUCGUUAAGGGACUUAACCCGACAUCUCACGACACGAGCUGACGACAGCCAUGCAGCACCUGUACUUGUUGUACCCCGAAGGGCCUACUCCACUUUCAUGGAGAUAAUCCAAGCAUGUCAAGCCCAGGUAAGGUUCUGCGCGUUGCUUCGAAUUGAACCACAUGCUCCACCGCUUGUGUGAGCCCCCGUCAAUUUCUUUGAGUUUUAGCCUUGCGACCGUACUUCCCAGGCGGUCCACUUAGCACUUUUGCUUCGACCGUAAUAACGUCAGAGAGACUACGAUCUAGUGGACAUCGUUUAUGGCCAGGACUAC